GGCCUCUUAGCUCCAGUGGUAGAAGCGCGUGGCUUUUAACCACGUGGUUGUUGGUUUGAUCCCCACAGACGGUG
rnacentral:tRNA from 1 species